AGCUGAACAUGGCAGACAUCAGGAAAUGGUGGUGCAUUUCCCUGAUGGAACGUUUCCAGAUCGAUGGCCACGGACGGAUGCUUGCAUACUGAAACAAGGAGGCACGAGCAUUGCUCGCAGGGUUGGAGCCAGUGUUUAGGGUCCCAAAGGCCAGAAAGACUGAACAUAAGGUGACAUGCUUGAAGAAAUGCAGUUUUGAUCAUACAUGCAUAUAUAUAUUUAUAUCAAUCUGUCUGUACAUCGUUUAUCCAUACUAAGCUUUUUUUUUAAUGUAAUUGAACAAUAAGAGUUUAUUUAUCCUUCAAAGGUUCAGUCUGAGAAGUCCGACCUGUGCUUCAUUUCGGAGUGAGGGGUUGAGAGAGAGAAGGAAGACGCUCUCUGCGAGCCAGAGGGAGCGUAGCUAGACCACGGGACGGACGGACUGAACGAACAUUCGUCGUUGUCCAUUUGUUCAUGUACAUUGUGUUUAUUUGCCACGAACGGGAAAUAAACCGGAGUUCGCUUAAUUUUCACCAAGAACUGUGUCCUGACUCAUUGGAACCCGUUACAGCCCCAUUGCGUUUGAAACUGUGUUGUGUUAUCUAUGAUCUUGCCUGGCAUAUAUUUUACAGUUGCCAAAGUCAGUGCUGUCUGACAUCCUCACUGAGGUGGUACUCCAAGAGGGAGAUAAAGCUUACCCAACUCUGGCUCUGGUGUGUUCCACCUUCAGGGACAUAGUGUCCACUGACAAGUUCAAAAGACAGGCACAUUUUCUGUGGCUCAACAGUAAGUGCUUCAGUGAAGGGUGCAUCAGUGUACAAUAUCCUAAUUUAAUAUAAUAAUGUAAUGUCCUGUGGGGUCUAUACAUGUUUUUACUGCUCUAUAAAAAUAA